UGACUGUAUUUUAAAAGAAUCGCCAGUAGGAUUUGCUGAUCAAACAUGGGUUGCAAGUGAAAUAGAGGAGUCAAGGAAGGCUGCAAGGUGUGCGGCUUGAGCAAGUUGGUGAAUGAAGAAUCGUUUAUUGAGAUGGGGAACCCCAGGGAAGGAGCAGGUCAGGUGUGACUUUGAGGGAACCAGAAAGUUGUUCUUCCUUACUGAGGCUCAGCUUGGACUCUUGCUUGAGUGAAAUGUCUACUGUACACCAAAGUCACUGAGGGUGCAAUGAUACGAGGAGAUUCGUUCCUGCCCGAGAGGUUGCAGAGCCCAGCAGCAGGUGACGACAAGUCUUCAGCAAUCACAUGAGGAUGACAGAAAGAAAAGCUCCCAGACGACCCCUCAGCU